GACGAACGCUGGCGGCGUGCUUAACACAUGCAAGUCGAACGAAGAGCGAUGGAAGCUUGCUUCUAUCAAUCUUAGUGGCGAACGGGUGAGUAACGCGUAAUCAACCUGCCCUUCAGAGGGGGACAACAGUUGGAAACGACUGCUAAUACCGCAUACGAUCUAAUCUCGGCAUCGAGGAUAGAUGAAAGGUGGCCUCUACAUGUAAGCUAUCACUGAAGGAGGGGAUUGCGUCUGAUUAGCUAGUUGGAGGGGUAACGGCCCGCCAAGGCGAUGAUCAGUAGCCGGUCUGAGAGGAUGAACGGCCACAUUGGGACUGAGACACGGCCCAGACUCCUACGGGAGGCAGCAGUGGGGAAUCUUCCGCAAUGGACGAAAGUCUGACGGAGCAACGCCGCGUGAGUGAUGACGGCCUUCGGGUUGUAAAGCUCUGUUAAUCGGGACGAAAGGCCUUCUUGCGAAUAGUGAGAAGGAUUGACGGUACCGGAAGAGAAAGCCACGGCUAACUACGUG
rnacentral:rRNA from 1 species